rnacentral:rRNA from 1 species
AGAGUUUGAUCCUGGCUCAGGAUGAACGCUAGCGACAGGCUUAACACAUGCAAGUCGAGGGGCAUCAUGAUUUGUAGCAAUACGAAUUGAUGGCGACCGGCGCACGGGUGAGUAACGCGUAUGCAACCUACCUAUCAGAGAGGGAUAACCCGGCGAAAGUCGGACUAAUACCUCAUAAAACAGGGGUCCCGCAUGGGAAUAUUUGUUAAAGGAUUAAUUGCUGAUAGAUGGGCAUGCGUUCCAUUAGCUAGUUGGUGAGGUAACGGCUCACCAAGGCAACGAUGGAUAGGGGUUCUGAGAGGAAGGUCCCCCACACUGGUACUGAGACACGGACCAGACUCCUACGGGAGGCAGCAGUGAGGAAUAUUGGUCAAUGGGCGAGAGCCUGAACCAGCCAAGUCGCGUGAAGGAAGACGGAUCUAUGGUUUGUAAACUUCUUUUAUACGGGAAUAAAGUGCGGCACGUGUGCCGUUUUGUAUGUACCGUACUGAAUAAGCAUCGGCUAACUCCGUGCCAGCAGCCGCGGUAAUACGGAGGAUGCGAGCGUUAUCCGGAUUUAUUGGGUUUAAAGGGUGCGUAGGUUGUGGAUUAAGUCAGCGGUGAAAGUUUGUCGCUCAACGAUAAAAUUGCCGUUGAAACUGGUUCACUUGAGUAUAUUUGAAGUAGGCGGAAUGCGUGGUGUAGCGGUGAAAUGCAUAGAUAUCACGCAGAACUCCGAUUGCGAAGGCAGCUUACUAAGUUAUAACUGACACUGAAGCACGAAGCGUGGGUAUCAAACGGGAU